rnacentral:rRNA from 1 species
UUAAGGAACUAGGCAAAAUGGUCCCGUAACUUAGGGAUAAGGGACGCCCGGUCUGGUGACGGUGUACAACCUGAGCCGGGCUGGGCCGCAGAGAAAUGGCCUGGGCGACUGUUUACUAAAAACACACGUCUCUGCCAAGUCGUAAGACGACGUAUAGGGACUGACACCUGCCCGGUGCUGGAGCGUUAAGGGGAGAGGUCAGAAUACGCCUAACCGUGUAUUCGAAGCUUUGAACCGAAGCCCCAGUAAACGGCGGCCGUAACUAUAACGGUCCUAAGGUAGCGAAAUUCCUUGUCGGGUAAGUUCCGACUCGCACGAAUGGUGUAACGAUUUGGGCACUGUCUCAACCCGGGGCUCGGCGAAAUUGCAGUAGCGGUGAGGAUACCGUUUUCCCGUGGAAGGACAGAAAGACCCCGUGGACCUUUACUGCAGCUUGAUAUUGGGUUCCGCCGUGGCGUGUGUAGGAUAGGCGGGAGACUUUGAAGCCUGGUCGCCAGAUCAGGUGGAGUCAACGUUGAAAUACCGUCCUCGUUUCGUUGGAACUCUAACACGGGUCCGUGAUCCGGAUCGUGGACAGUGCCUGGUGGGCAGUUUGACUGGGGUGGUCGCCUCCCAAAAAGUAACGGAGGCGCCCAAAGGUUCCCUCAGCGCGGUCGGUAAUCGCGCGUCGAGUGCAAAGGCACAAGGGAGCUUGACUGCGAGACGGACAGGUCGAGCAGGUACGAAAGUAGGGCUUAGGGAUCCUGCGGUCCCGAGUGGAAGGGCCGUGGCUCAACGGAUAAAAGGUACCCCGGGGAUAACAGGCUGAUCGCCACCGAGAGUUCACAUCGACGUGGCGGUUUGGCACCUCGAUGUCGGCUCAAUGCAUCCUGGGGCUGAACAAGGUCCCAAGGGUUCGGCUGUUCGCCGAUUAAAGCGUUACGCGAGCUGGGUUUAGAACGUCGUGAGACAGUUCGGUCUCUAUCCUCCACGGGUGUAGGAAGCUUGAGGGGAUCUGUCUUCAGUACGAGAGGACCGAGACGGACGCACCUCUAGUGUACCAGUUGUCCCGCCAGGGGCACCGCUGGGUAGCUACGUGCGGACCAGGAUAAGCGCUGAAAGCAUCUAAGUGCGAAACCGGCCCCAAAACUAGGCUUCCCGACCGAAAGGUCCUCAAGGCCACUCGGAGAUUACGAGUUUGAUAGGCCGCAGGUGUAAGCACAGUAAUGUGUUCAGCCGAGCGGUACUAAUCGGCCGUGCGGCUUCAUUAC